UACGAGGGGAGCAAGCGUUGUUCGGAUUUACUGGGCGUAAAGGGCGCGUAGGCGGUCGUGACAAGUCACUUGUGAAAUCUCCGGGCUUAACUCGGAACGGUCAAGUGAUACUGUCGGACUAGAGUACAGAAGGGGCAACUGGAAUUCUCGGUGUAGCGGUGAAAUGCGUAGAUAUCGAGAGGAACACCUGCGGCGAAGGCGGGUUUCUGGGCCUUACCUGACGCUGAGACGCGAAAGCGUGGGGAGCGAACCGG
rnacentral:rRNA from 1 species